CUUUUGCUGAGGCUGACUUUGAACUUGUGAUCCUCUUGUCUCAGCCUCUUGAGCAGCUAGGAUUAGAGGUGUGUGCCAUUGCACCCGGUGAUGAGGGCUUCUUAAUGAGAUGCUGGCAAUGGAAGGCAAACCUCAGGAUGAUGAGCACCGAAGAGACAGGAGUAGGGGGCUGGGAGGAGUGGGCUGCACCUUGCCAUCUGAGACUUUGGCAAGUGAUAGGUGGACCUUUCCUGGCCUGAGGUCUUGAGAGCAGGGUAGGUGUGUCCCCUUGGGAGUGGAGGACACUGCCUAGGACCUCUCAACAUGGAGGGCAAGGCUUUUCUCCUUGCCUGUUAUGGGCAUGAUCACUGCUCAGGCCCUACAUGUUCUGUUUCCAACCACCUGCAGGUACUGGGUGAUGGGGACACUGCCAGCAUCACAGAGCCAGGAUUCCAGAACCCAGAGCUGGCCCUUUCUCCUGUCACCAGCUUUCAGGGGUUCCCUCUUGCCUCACUGAGGAUCCCUGAGAGUGGCCUGGAAGCCUGGAGGGGGUGGGGGCAAAAUGCAUGGGUGCCUUCUAGGGAGCCCUAACACCUACAGGACAUUAAAAACGCAAUGCAGAGGCCAGGCUGGCGAGGUGCUGUGUGGCUUCUGGGCCUCUCUCCAAGUCCCUGAGCUGGAGGUGCUCUGAUCGGGGGGAUCUGCAUGCCUCCCUGUUCCCCUGGAACACUCAGAACACUGAAUGUUGGCUCUUGGAGAUCACCUGGGUGGUACCCUGAGCUACGAGAUGGCAGCAGCAGAAGACCUAGCCUGUCUAGAAAGCUGCUGUAUGGAGAAAGGGGCAGGAGAAGGCAGGAUCUGGGCCUCAUCUGGGAGACCUAUCAGGUGUCAACCACGUGGCUUCUGGGGAGGCCAGGCUCUGGGGCAAGGUGGCAGGAUACUAAGCCCAGUGGUCCUGAGGGCAUAAGGACUUUGGUCAAGGUCUGAGUCUGGCAGGUCCACCCCAAGGCUGCCUACGUCCACCCCAAGGGCAAAUGCCCAAAGUCUUUUGCUGGAGCAAGGCGCCGGGCCUGCCGAGUGGCUUGCACAGCCGAGGGGGAUUCUAGACACACAGGGCAUCUGAUGCAAGCUGGGUGCGCUCCAGUCAGCGUAAAUCUUCUCAGUGGCUCUGCUUGUUUCCAUGGUGACCUGACAAGUGAAAUUUUCCAUCUCGGAUGCCAAAUGCCUGUGGAUGAGGCAAAGCCUCCAAGGGUUACCAAAUAUAGACACAGCCCAAGAGGCUCUGGGGCCAGGGCCAGCAGUGGGUUCAGGGUGGGAGUGUGGACCCCCCUGCCCAGAGGAUGCCAUUCUGGGCCUCUCAGAGACCUACUCUUCCUGCAGGCAGGACCCCAGCAGGGUAGCCAUGGGUGCAUCCUCGCUUCCCGUCCCACCAGUCUCAGAACACCAAGGCUUGGACGUUACUGGGACAGGGACACUCUGAGACAAUGUCUGCCUGGAAGUGGCUGUCCCACACCUGCCAGCUGCUGUGAUCCUCUAUCACUGUCUUCAACACGGACACUGGCACAUCUUUGUUGGUAUGUGGUGCUGAGGAUCAUCUUUGUUGGUAUGUGGUGCUGAGGAUCGAACCCAGGCCGCACGCAUGCCAGGCGAGCACGCUACUGCUUGAGCCACAUCCCCAGCCCAGCCAAGGGCUUCUCUUGGCCAUUUGGCUCCUGAGGCUGAGGGGCCAUCGUGGGGGCCUGUGUGGAGCAUGAAGAACUCCACAUGGUAGUGGGAGGACUGUGGACAGAUCCUUUCACAAUGGAACCACCCUGGGUGCCUGGAGGCAGGGCAGGGCAGGGUGUGAAGGUAUAGGUACUGGGAACAACUGGAGCCCCCAGUGGGAGAAGCUGGGAAGGGCCUCCUUCACAGCACUAUCUGCAAGGAGCAGGGGUCCCAAACUGCAAUGAGGGCCCUAAAGGGAAGAAGCCCAAGUUCACAGGACCCUUGAAGGGUAAGAAUUCCACCAGGCUUUGCCUGGGGAAUCUCAACUUUGCCAUGUGGCUUCAGGGGAGACGUUUCCCAUGACCCUACUCCUCUGCUCCGAGAACAGGAUGAGCAAAACUGCCAAGAUCAAACAUGGCCUCCCCCAUCCACACUGUCAGCAAAUCAUUCCCUGGUCCCUUGGCCAUUUGCUCGUGACACUCAUGUUGACUCCCAUUUGUGACUCCUCUGGCUUUGCCACCCAAUAAAGGUAUGCGGACACCCCACCA